rnacentral:rRNA from 1 species
UCGUGUCUAGUCGAGCGGUAAGGCACCUUCGGGUGUACACGAGCGGCGAACGGGUGCGUAACACGUGAGUAAUCUGCCCUUCACUUUGGGAUAAGCCCGGGAAAUCGGGUCUAAUACCGGAUAUUCUCUGAUCCACGCAUGUGGGUUGGUGGAAAGCUUUUGUGGUGGAGGAUGGGCUCGCGGCCUAUCAGCUUGUUGGUGGGGUAAUGGCUUACCAAGGCUUUGACGGGUAGCCGGCCUGAGAGGGUGACCGGCCACACUGGGACUGAGACACGGCCCAGACUCCUACGGGAGGCAGCAGUGGGGAAUAUUGGACAAUGGGCGGAAGCCUGAUCCAGCAACGCCGCGUGAGGGAUGACGGCCUUCGGGUUGUAAACCUCUUUCAGUACCGACGAAGCGAAAGUGACGGUAGGUACAGAAGAAGCACCGGCCAACUACGUGCCAGCAGCCGCGGUAAUACGUAGGGUGCGAGCGUUGUCCGGAAUUAUUGGGCGUAAAGGGCUCGUAGGCGGUUUGUUGCGUGGGGAGUGAAAACCCAGGGCUUAACUCUGGGCUUGCUUCCGAUACGGGCUGACUAGAGGUAUGCAGGGGAGAACGGAAUUCCUGGUGUAGCGGUGAAAUGCGCAGAUAUCAGGAGGAACACCGGUGGCGAAGGCGGUUCUCUGGGCAUUACCUGACGCUGAGGAGCGAAAGUGUGGGGAGCGAACAGGAUUAGAUACCCUGGUAGUCCACACCGUAAACGUUGGGCGCUAGGUGUGGGACUCAUUCCACGAGUUCCGUGCCGCAGCUAACGCAUUAAGCGCCCCGCCUGGGGAGUACGGCCGCAAGGCUAA